GGUAGUAAAAGUCGUAACAAGGUCUCCGUUGGUGAACCAGCGGAGGGAUCAUUACCGAGUUUACAACUCCCAAACCCAAUGUGAACCAUACCAAACUGUUGCCUCGGCGGGGUCACGCCCCGGGUGCGUCGCAGCCCCGGAACCAGGCGCCCGCCGGAGGGACCAACCAAACUCUUUCUGUAGUCCCCUCGCGGACGUUAUUUUUACAGCUCUGAGCAAAAAUUCAAAAUGAAUCAAAACUUUCAACAACGGAUCUCUUGGUUCUG
rnacentral:misc_RNA from 1 species